rnacentral:rRNA from 1 species
GCUCAGUAACACGUCGAUAAUCUGCCCUUAGGUUCGGGAUAACGUUGGGAAACUGACGAUAAGACCGGAUUUAGAAAUUCUACUGGAAGGUGAAUUUCCUUAGACGCAAGGCCUAAGGAUGAGUCGGCGGCGGAUUAGGUUGUUGGCGAGGUAAUGGCUCACCAAGCCGAAGAUCCGUAGGGGCCUUGAAAGAGGUAGCCCCGAGAAGGGCACUGAGACACUGGCCCUAGCUCCACGGAGUGCAGCAGGCGCGAAAACUUUACAAUGCACGCAAGUGUGAUAAGGGAAUCCUAAGUGACGACGCAAAGCGUCGUCUUUUGCCAAGAGCAAAUAUCUUGGAGAAUAAGUGGUGGGCAAUACCUGUGCCAGCCGCCGCGGUAACCCAGGAGCCACAAGUGGCAACCACCUUUAUUUGGCCUAAAGCGUCCGUAGCCGGUUGUGUAAAUUUUCUGUGAAAUCGUUGCGCUUAACGUAACGGCGCGCAGAAAACACUGCACGACUUGGGACCGGGAGGAGUUGGAGGUAUUUGAGGGGGAGCGGUAAAAUGCUAUAAUCCUUCAAGGACCACCUGUGGCGAAGGCGUCCAACUAGAACGGAU